AAAAAUACAAAGAAUAUUUUACUGUUUCGUAGUUUAUUUCUUGAUUAUUCUCAGUCUUCUGCGAAUUUGGGCUAGCUGGUAGCUCAAUAUGGUUUGUAGCUGGUUUCUUCAUCAUCCAGCUGGUUAUUUGGGUUGAUUUGGUUUCUAUCAUUCCUGAGUUGCUUGUUAGUAGUUAUUAUCUGGUUGGAAUUCAUAUUUAGGUUGUUCCUCCUAAUUUCUGGGUUUUUCAAGUAUUAUUGUGUUGUUGCUCGUCUUUUGCUUCUACUGACUUCCUCCCCUACUCAUUUCUGUUCAUUUCCAGGUACGUGCUAUGAAACUCAUACUAUGUAAAUCUCCUGCUGGAAAUGAAAUCAGAUUGAGGCUGAAUUUCUACUGUGUUCUUUUUUAUUUGCAAUUUUAGUGGCUUGAUCGUGU
rnacentral:lncRNA from 1 species